rnacentral:rRNA from 1 species
CUACGGGUGGCUGCAGUGGGGAAUAUUGGACAAUGGGGGAAACCCUGAUCCAGCAAUGCCGCGUGUGUGAAGAAGGCCUGCGGGUUGUAAAGCACUUUCGGUUGGGAGGACUGCUUCUAGCACUAAUAUUGUUGGAAGUUGACGUUACCUUCAGAAGAAGCACCGGCUAACUCCGUGCCAGCAGCCGCGGUAAUACGGAGGGUGCAAGCGUUAAUCGGAAUUACUGGGCGUAAAGCGCGCGUAGGCGGCUAGAUCAGUCGGAGUUGAAAGCCCCGGGCUUAACCUGGGAACUGCAUCCGAUACUGUCUAGCUUGAGUACAGGAGAGGAGAGUGGAAUUCCACAUGUAGCGGUGAAAUGCGUAGAUAUGUGGAGGAACACCAAUGGCGAAGGCAGCUCUCUGGCCUGAUACUGACGCUGAGGUGCGAAGGCGUGGGGAGCAAACAGGAUUAGAUACCCUUGUAGUC